rnacentral:piRNA from 1 species
UCAGUUUUGGUUUCUAAACUU